rnacentral:rRNA from 1 species
UACGUAGGGUGCAAGCGUUAAUCGGAAUUACUGGGCGUAAAGCGUGCGCAGGCGGUUUUGUAAGUCAGAUGUGAAAUCCCCGGGCUUAACCUGGGAACUGCGUUUGAAACUACAAGGCUAGAGUGUGGCAGAGGGGGGUGGAAUUCCACGUGUAGCAGUGAAAUGCGUAGAGAUGUGGAGGAACACCGAUGGCGAAGGCAGCGCCCUGGGUUAACACUGACGCUCAGGCACGAAAGCGUGGGGAGCAAACAGG